ACUACGUUUAUAAUGCAACGAUAAUUUGAAAUUAGCCCAACGAUUGUACUAAAUCUAGCUUGAAAAUAAACUAGAAGAGCUAAUUACGCUGCAAAGUGUCUGUCAUUCUCAUUCGCUGUUCAUCACAUUCGCACACACCCCGAAUUGCUAUUUCUGCCGAUCAGAACGUUCGAGCCUUCGUUGCAGCUGGUUGUAAGAAGCUGAUCGUCGACCACCUUAUCGUGCAAGAAAGGCACUGAUGUUCCCACCAUAAGGAACGAGCACGCUACAAUAAGAUCAUUUUAUUCCACGAUAACCGGCGAGAAGAUCAGCGGGACCUGUGAGAGCAACCAUCAUCUCCAUCGGCUCGGUCGAUCUACCAUCUCCGGUGCAGCAGCACGCGGUAGAGAAUUAUCAAUACACGGGGCUGGAAAGUCUUGAGCAAACGCAAUCAAC